AUUGAACGCUGGCGGAAUGCUUUACACAUGCAAGUCGAGCGGCAGCGCGGCCUUCGGGCUGGCGGCGAGCGGCGAACGGGUGAGUAAUGCAUCGGAACAUGCCCAGUCGUGGGGGAUAACACUUCGAAAGAAGUGCUAAUACCGCAUACGUCCUGAGGGGGAAAGCGGGGGAUCGCAAGACCUCGCGCGAUUGGAGUGGCAGAUGUCAGAUUAGCUAGUUGGUGGGGUAAAGGCCUACCAAGGCGACGAUCUGUAGCUGGUCUGAGAGGAUGAUCAGCCACACUGGGAGUGAGACAGGGCCCAGACUCCUACGGGAGGCAGCAGUGGGGAAUUUUGGACAACGGGGGCAAACCUGAUCCAGCCAUUCCGCGUGAGUGAAGAAGGCCUUCGGGUUGUAAAGCUCUUUCGGCAGGAACGAAACGGUGGGCUCUAACAUAGUCCGCUAAUGACGGUACCUGAAGAAGAAGCACCGGCUAACUACGUG
rnacentral:rRNA from 1 species